GCCCCCGUAGCUCAGCUGGAUAGAGCGACGGCCUUCUAAGCCGUGGGUCGCAGGUUCGAAUCCUGCCGGGGGCG
rnacentral:tRNA from 1 species